CAAAACAGGUACAGCAAAGGCAGCAGCAGUACAAGUUUCCCCAAACUUCCUUGCCAACAGGCCUCCAAUCUGACUGGAAGAACCACUUCUAGG
rnacentral:sRNA from 1 species